UCUUCUGACCUGCAAGUGUACAUG
rnacentral:piRNA from 1 species